rnacentral:rRNA from 1 species
AGAGUUUGAUCCUGGCUCAGGAUGAACGCUGGCGGCGUGCCUAAUACAUGCAAGUCGAACGCUGGAGAUCUAGCUUGCUAGAUCGAAGGAGUGGCGAACGGGUGAGUAAUACAUAAGCAACCUACCCACGAAGACUGGGAUAAUCUCUGGAAACGGGGACUAAUACCGGAUAGGUAAUCGGAAGGCAUCUUCUGAUUAUUAAAGGUUAAAAACACUGGUGGAUGGGCUUAUGGCGCAUUAGUUAGUUGGUGAGGUAACGGCCCACCAAGACGAUGAUGCGUAGCCGGCCUGAGAGGGUGAACGGCCACAUUGGGACUGAGACACGGCCCAGACUCCUACGGGAGGCAGCAGUAGGGAAUUUUCGGCAAUGGGGGAAACCCUGACCGAGCAACGCCGCGUGAGUGAUGACGGCCUUCGGGUUGUAAAGCUCUGUUGUAAGGGAAGAACGGUAGAUAGAGAAUAUCUAAGUGACGGUACCUUACCAGAAAGCCACGGCUAACUACGUGCCAGCAGCCGCGGUAAUACGUAGGUGGCGAGCGUUAUCCGGAAUUAUUGGGCGUAAAGGGUGCGUAGGCGGCCUGUUAAGUAAGUGGUUAAAUUGUUGGGCUCAACCCAAUCCAGCCACUUAAACUGGCAGGCUAGAGUAUUGGAGAGGCAAGUGGAAUUCCAUGUGUAGCGGUAAAAUGCGUAGAUAUAUGGAGGAACACCAGUGGCGAAGGCGGCUUGCUAGCCAAAGACUGACGCUCAUGCACGAAAGCGUGGGGAGCAAAUAGGAUUAGAUACCCUAGUAGUCCACGCCGUAAACGAUGAAUACUAAGUAUUGGGGAAACUCAGUGCUGCAGCUAACGCAAUAAGUAUUCCGCCUGUGGAGUAUGCACGCAAGUGUGAAACAUAAAGGAAUUGACGGGGGCCCGCACAAGCGGUGGAGUAUGUGGUUUAAUUCGACGCAACGCGAAGAACCUUACCAGGCCUUGACAUCCCUUGCAAAGCUGUAGAGAUACAGUAGAGGUUAUCAAGGAGACAGGUGGUGCAUGGUUGUCGUCAGCUCGU